CGGAGAGUAGCUCAGCCUGGUAGAGCACUGCUUUCGGGAGGCAGGGGCCGGAGGUUCAAAUCCUCUCUCUCCGACCA
rnacentral:tRNA from 3 species